AGAGUUUGAUCCUGGCUCAGGAUGAACGCUGGCGGCGUGCCUAAUACAUGCAAGUCGAACGAGGAGUACUUACUUCGGUUUUUACUCCUAGUGGCGAACGGGUGAGUAACGCGUUGGUGACCUGCCCCGAAGCGGGGGACAACAGUUCGAAAGAACUGCUAAUACCCCAUGUGGUCUUACUGGUUAGAGGCUGUAUGACUAAAGGAGUAAUCCACUUCGGGAGGGGCCUGCGUCCCAUCAGCUAGUUGGUAAGGUAACGGCCUACCAAGGCAAAGACGGGUAGGGGGCCUGAGAGGGUGGCCCCCCACACUGGCACUGAAACACGGGCCAGACACCUACGGGUGGCAGCAGUAGGGAAUAUUGCACAAUGGGCGAAAGCCUGAUGCAGCAACGCCGCGUGCGCGAAGAAGGCCUUCGGGUCGUAAAGCGCUUUUCUGGAGGAAGAGGAAGGACGGUACUCCAGGAAUAAGGAUCGGCUAACUACGUGCCAGCAGCCGCGGUAACACGUAGGAUCCGAGCGUUAUCCGAAUUUACUGGGCGUAAGCGCGUGUAGGCGGUCGGGUAAGUUGGACGUGAAAGCUCCUGGCUCAACUAGGAGAGGUCGUUCAAAACUGCCUGGCUAGAGGGCGACAGAGGGAGGUGGAAUUCCCGGUGUAGUGGUGAAAUGCGUAGAUAUCGGGAGGAACACCAGUGGCGAAGGCGGCCUCCUGGGUCGCACCUGACGCUCAGACGCGAAAGCUAGGGGAGCGAACGGGAUUAGAUACCCCGGUAGUCCUAGCUGUAAACGAUGUGGACUUGGCGUUGGUGGGGUUAAAUCCAUCAGUGCCGAAGCUAACGCGAUAAGUCCACCGCCUGGGGACUACGGUCGCAAGAUUAAAACUCAAAGGAAUUGGCGGGGGCCCGCACAAGCAGCGGAGCGUGUGGUUUAAUUCGAUGCUACACGAAGAACCUUACCCGGGUUUGACAUCCAGGUGGUAGGGAACCGAAAGGUAACCGACCCUUCGGGGAGCCUGGACAGGUGCUGCAUGGCUGUCGUCAGCUCGUGUCGUGAGAUGUCCGGUUAAGUCCGGUAACGAGCGCAACCCUUGCUGUAUGUUAUACGUGUCAUACAGGACUGCCGGUUUAGUGCCGGAGGAAGGCGGGGAUGACGUCAAGUCAGCAUGGCCUUUAUAUCCGGGGCUACACACACGCUACAAUGGUCAGUACAACAGGUUGCAAAACCGCGAGGUGGAGCCAAUCCCCAAAACUGGCCUCAGUUCAGAUUGCAGGCUGCAACUCGCCUGCAUGAAGUCGGAGUUGCUAGUAACCGCGCGUCAGCUAUAGUGCGGUGAAUACGUUCUCGGGCCUUGCACACACCGCCCGUCACGUCAUGGAAGCUGGUAACACCUGAAGCCGGUAUCCCAACCGCAAGGAGGGAGCUGUCGAAGGUGGGACUGGUGACUGGGACGAAGUCGUAACAAGGUA
rnacentral:rRNA from 1 species